GUGCCCUUUUAAGGUUGACUCAGUGCUUUAAGAGGCUAACACAGAAGGGUAAAGUAAGUCUCCAUAAAACCCAAAGAGGAGAUGGUAAAACUCCUCUUUGGAUCCUGUCUGGAGUCACAGCU
rnacentral:snoRNA from 1 species